UUGUCGAGUGUGGACAAUUCUAAGGAGCGAGUUGUCGAGCAAAGUGUAAACAAGUUAUAAGUUAGAGUUGUAAAGUAGAGUAUUGAGUACUAAAGUGUUAAGUUAUAAGGAAUUAGAAAUAAAGAUUAGUGUAUAGCCAUUAAAGUGUGACUUUUAUUUGACAAUUCAGUGAUCGAACUCAGGGUAGAGUUUUAGAGUAAACGACAGAUUUUGGAAAUCCGUUACAGUAUGUAUAAGAGAGAGAUGCAUGUACUACAAUGAACCGUUCAAAAUCUCCGCCAUGGCCGUCAUUCAUAUGAAAAAAAAUUGAAUAAAUUUUUUCUUUACAGAGAGGAAUAUAACUGCAGAAAAUGGUCCGGAAGGCAAAGCGAACUACAACGCACAUCUGGUGCGUACAAGCAAAACUAAAAAGAGAAAUAGAACAAGGAUUAUGCCACUUUAGGCAGAUGGAUAUUUGCAAACUUCGGAAGAAAAACUAAAGCUUAAGCUUAGCUACUUGGUAUGGGGGGAAUCCUACCAGCAGUUCUUCAAGACAUACAACGGCAAUCGCUCAUCAAUCGUCCAUUACAAAUUCGACGUAUGAUGGAAGAAGCACUCGUAGUCAGUCCUUUGUGUCAGGAAGUAACAAAAAUGAUGCACCUGGAAAUACAACACAACAUAUGCUACAACAACAGAGUUGGUAUUAAUACUUCCCAUGCUUAUAAUAUUGGUGGAUAAUCGCCAAAUGGUGUAUAAGUAUAGCAGCAACAACAAGUAAUACAUAUUCAAAUUCAAUUCAAAUAACAAUGAUUGUUCUACGAAUAUACAUAGAUAUUUUAAUUAUUUCUAACCAACUUUAUAUAUUUUUCAGGCAUCGGAUGAUGUACUACAUGAUGGUCUGAAGGAUUUGUUUGAAUGAAGUUCAAUCCGUAUUUUUGUUGUAUAGCUUCAAACUUAGAUCUCUUUUAAUGAGUGAUCAAAGCUCAGAUCAAAACCACCUUCUAUUUCAAUAAAAUUUUCUAGUUAUAAUUAUUAUUUUGCAGGUAUCCGUUGGCCAGUAAGUUGGUGUUCCAGUCGAUACGAACGCACACUCCGUAUCUUGCGCUGACUGGAAUAAAUCUCGCCCUUUAGUUGUCGUUAGGCGCGAUCUCCAGAAGACAUGCUUCGCAUUAAAGUCACCUCCCAUAAUAAAUUUGUGUGGGUGCUUAUUGAAAACUUCUAUAUAUUCUUCAACGACAAUUUUGUACCUCGGCGGCAAUAUAUUGCUGUAAUUGACAGGGGUUGGUUCAUUGCUUUUAGUGUUAUAGCGGUGGUUUGAAUAUUGUAUGCACUGAUUUUUCUAUCCUCAUUAUGUUUAAUGCUGUUUUUAACAAUAACAGCAGUGUCUCCCCUGGCACAAUUACUAGGAUGGAUUCUGUGAUAAAUUUCAUAGUUUUUGAAAGCAAUGUAGCUGUGUCUUGUAAAAUGAGUUUCGGAUAUUAGACAUACAUCUAUUUUCGCUUUUUGUAAAAUGCGUUGAAGUUCUUCUUGGUGCUUUAAUAGUCCAUUUGCAUUCCAUGUCAUAACUCGGAGAGCACCAUUCAUACCUUACAUUUUGUUUUAUUUUUAUUAUUUUCAAGGUUAUCUAAACGGCUGCAGAGAUCUAUAUUGAAUUUUCUUGCUUAUUUAACAUCUCAAGGAUUUGACUUAGUAGUUCUUCGGUCAACUUUGUAUUUUUUUCGUUCAUUACGUUUGAGUUGCUUUUCAGCGCUUCAGAAAAAGUGAGCUUACUCGUCGGUACGCGAUGCUGCUUGUUGACAGCACUUUUAUUGACAAUGGUUGGAUUAUUUGAUGUACUGGGCAAAUUUAUGGUGCCCUUUUGUUUUUUUUCAAGGUUUUGUUACGAAUGCUUUGAAGCUCUUUUGCAACAAUACAUCCUCUGUAGUUUGCCGGAUAGCUUUCGCCACAGUAACAGCAUUUUGGUUUUUCUGAAGUUGGUUUUUGGCACUGGAAGGUUUUGUGCUUACCACCGCAUUUAACUCAUUUUGCCAUUUUGCCGGAGAAAUUCUUGGUGUGUCCAAAUGCCGGACAAUUUUUAUAUUGAGGAAUAAGUUUAGAACAACAACGGUGUGAAGAAUAUAUUUGAUUUCAUAGAUUUUCUUGAUGUUGACAUUCGAAUCAAAAGUAGCUAAAAACAUGUUUAAAGGUUCUCGUCUUUUCUACUUGAGUUUCUCAACGACGUUCAUAACUUUUAAACCUUUUUCUUUUAAAUCAUCGAUAAUAGCACUAACGAAUUAUGGACAUUUUUAAUCAUAACCUUUAUUGGACGCGUUUGUUUGUCUUCAAAGGAAUACAAUGAUGCUCCCGAUGCAGACAACAUUUUUGUCACCGAUCUAUAGUCAUCACUUGAUGUGACACUUACUUUAUGUAUAUCGUUAUUUAAAGGUUUUAAGACGAAUGAAUGGUUCAUACUUCGGUUUAUCAUUUUUAGAUGUAUGGUUUUCACCGAUCGAUUUCUUUUCUUGUAUGUUCAACUCUGGUGAAGCUUCAGCCUUACGCUUUUUACUAGGCCUUUUUAUUUUUCUUUAUAAUCCACUCUGUUUCCAUAGCCAAUUCUUCUUCAUCAGUUUCGUAUUGUGAUUGACUAUAAUUAGGCACAAGUGGAUUAUUUUGUUCCUUCAUCUUUUGAUUUUCCGCUUUUAAUUGUUGUCAUAAUUAUUCUAAUUAUUCUAAUUCUUUAAAUUUUUGCUUUAACUCAUCGAUUUCAGAAACUAUUUUUUUCGGUUGGCUUAUUUGUAUUUUUUGAUCCCCUCCAAUGGGGUACGAUGCAUAUUACAGCUGUAUUUUAUAUCGCUUUAUAUGUUAAAUUAAUUAUUUUCGAUAUCCAAUAACAAUUUUCAGAAAGGAUUUCAAUAUUACAACUAAUGGCAACUCAGCCUUUGCAGUAGUUAAUGCAAAUACAAUUUUUUUUUUGGUAUAACUUUAGGAUCUUAAUUUUAACGUAAAUUGUAAUAGAUAGUUAUAUGAUUUACAAUGGUUUGUAUUUUCGAUAAGGAGAAAUAGAAUAAAAUAAAAUAGGAUAAGUGUACUUAUUGUAUAAGGGAUUUUUCGUAGGUCAAAGUCUAAGGACCUGUGACUAAGGGGUGACCCUGAAAAUGAUAAAUCGAACAAUCUCUCCCUGCAAGACAGGUACCGGCGAAUUCUUCGGUGAAAAGCCUGGGAGCGGUACUAGCAGUUUCAAUGAAAGUUUCUAUGCGAUUCUUACGGGCGAAUUGACCAAUAUACGAAGUGUACGCGUGAUCGUUUAUCCCUUUCUUGCACAUUACAUUCAUCAUUUAACAAUUUAUAUAUACCUCUUGCACAAUUUGGGGAAUAUUAUUGGAACAAUUACGGAUGAAAGACCAAAAACUGCGACCAAUAUCUCCAAUUGCACUUUCAGUAAUGCGACCCACAAAAGCCCAGAAGCUAUACCAGCUAUUUUCGGUUAGUUCUACCAAAAUCCCAAAUGAGAAUUUAAUAACAAAAUCAUUAAUUACCCAGCAAGUCAUGGGUACUGAAACUCCAAUACAUUCAAAGAAAUUUUAAUAACAUCACUACAUACACACAUAUGCAACAAAGGGCGCAUAAACAUUUACCUCAACUCUUCUCUCGUACAGCACCCUGAAUGAUAGAAAGAAACAACCAAAGAUCUCGUGUUUAAACAAGUUUUGUUUAGAGCUAUAUCAUGGCUGCUUGUGAAGUAUUAUUUUGCGUGUUUUAAUUAAAUCAGUGAUCUGUAACCUAAUUAAAGUUUAAAUUAUUGAAGCACGCAUUUUUAAAUAAGUAAAACGUAAAAUAAAAGUUUGCUAAAGCCAAAAUAUGGAAUUGAAGAGGGUGAUACAGUAAUACUUCAUUGCAUUGUCAAUUCGAAGCACGCAAUAGAAACUACGCCAACAAUGGUCAACAUCAAGGGCGAAACCAUUGAAUACAUAUUUCAAACCUCAUACUGCACGUUAAAGGUACGCAACGUAAUUGGUGCCACUUAUAGUAGCAGCGUAGAACUUUCGAAGCGAUGGAAUAUGUGCUGCAAGCAAAUUCAGAACUAUGGAUGCAAACGCUGCUACAUGGAACACAAAACAAUGACACACCAGAUAUUAGUUUUGAUGUCACUUUUUUACGUGCAAUUAAACCUAUUGGUCAACACAAGCACGAGAAUUGGAACGACAUGGUUUAGGUGAUUUUGAAACCGUUUAUCAUCGCGACGUGUGUCAACUGGGCAUUGCCAAUGAGCUAGAGGGCAAAGCAUAUGCAGUAUUUUUGCACUUACCGGCACCUCAGUUGGCCAUACCAGCAACUGAAACAUAGAAAUCAGAGGGAGGACUUUUCUGAUUCAUUUUCACCUUGUAUUGAGGAUUCAUAACGUUGAUGUAUCGCUUUACAAGGACAUGGAUUCACCGAAAUUAGUUCAAUGGAAAUACUACAGCAAGAGCAUGGAUGUUAAGACUAGAACGUUGCUAGUGCUAGAUUUAGAAUUCCUGAAACAUAAGAAACCCUCCUCCCAGAAAAUGGACGAAUCUAGUACUAAUGAAAUUAAUGAAAGAACAGAUCUUCCAAAUCUCCUAAAGAAACCAAAA